rnacentral:rRNA from 1 species
CUCUCGGCAAUGGAUAUCUCGGCUCUCGCAUCGAUGAAGAGCGCAGCAAAUGCGAUACGUGGUGCGAAUUGCAGAAUCCCGCGAACCA